rnacentral:rRNA from 1 species
AUUGAACGCUGGCGGCAUGCCUUACACAUGCAAGUCGAACGGCAGCGGACCUUCGGGUGCCGGCGAGUGGCGAACGGGUGAGUAAUAUAUCGGAACGUACCUUUCAGUGGGGGAUAACGUAGCGAAAGUUACGCUAAUACCGCAUAUUCUGUGAGCAGGAAAGCAGGGGAUCGCAAGACCUUGCGCUGAUUGAGCGGCCGAUAUCAGAUUAGCUAGUUGGUGAGGUAAAGGCUCACCAAGGCGACGAUCUGUAGCGGGUCUGAGAGGAUGAUCCGCCACACUGGAACUGAGACACGGUCCAGACUCCUACGGGAGGCAGCAGUGGGGAAUUUUGGACAAUGGGCGCAAGCCUGAUCCAGCCAUGCCGCGUGAGUGAAGAAGGCCUCGGUUGUAAAGACUCUUUCGGUCCGGGUAACGAAAGUACGCACAGUUAAGUAACCUCGUGUGGAGUGACGGUACCGGAAGUAAGAAGACACCGGACGUAACCUAACGUA